rnacentral:rRNA from 1 species
CGGAGGGUCCAAGCGUUAUCCGGAAUCAUUGGGUUUAAAGGGUCCGUAGGCGGGCUUGUAAGUCAGUGGUGAAAUCUCCCGGCUCAACCGGGAAAUUGCCAUUGAUACUGCAAGUCUUGAAUUAUUGGGAAGUAACUAGAAUAUGUAGUGUAGCGGUGAAAUGCUUAGAGAUUACAUGGAAUACCAAUUGCGAAGGCAGGUUACUAUCAAUAUAUUGACGCUGAUGGACGAAAGCGUGGGUAGCGAACAGGAUU